GUAGUACUCACUCCGUCGAACGAAAGAUGUCUCAAGUUUGUCAAAAUUUAGAUAUAUCUAGACAUAACUUAGUGUAUAGAUAUAUUCAAAUUUAAUCAAAGUUGGGACACUUUUUGUUGGACGGAAAAAUACUGU
rnacentral:pre_miRNA from 1 species